rnacentral:rRNA from 1 species
CCCUUAGAUGUUCUGGGCCGCACGCGCGCUACACUGACGAAGUCAGCGAGCAUGUCCUACGCCGACAGGUGCGGGGAAUCUUGUCAAACUUCGUCGUGAUGGGGAUUGAUUAUUGAAAUUCUUGAUCAUCAACGAGGAAUUCCUAGUAAGCGCAAGUCAGCAGCUUGCGUUGAUUACGUCCCUGCCCUUUGUACACACCGCCCGUCGCUACUACCGAUUGAAUGGUUUAGUGAGAUCUUCGGAUUGGCGCCACUGCGGCUCAGCAAUGGGCUCGGUGGAUGCCGAAAAGUCGAUCAAACUUGAUCAUUUAGAGGAAGUAAAAGUCGUAACA